AUUGAACGCUGGCGGCAUGCUUUACACAUGCAAGUCGAACGGUAACAGGCCGCAAGGUGCUGACGAGUGGCGAACGGGUGAGUAAUGCAUCGGAACGUGCCCAGUCGUGGGGGAUAACUGCUCGAAAGAGCAGCUAAUACCGCAUACGAUCUAUGGAUGAAAGCGGGGGACCGUAAGGCCUCGCGCGAUUGGAGCGGCCGAUGUCAGAUUAGGUAGUUGGUGGGGUAAAGGCUCACCAAGCCAACGAUCUGUAGCUGGUAUGAGAGGACGACCAGCCAGACUGGGACUGAGACACGGCCCAGACUCCUACGGGAGGCAGCAGUGGGGAAUUUUGGACAAUGGGGGCAACCCUGAUCCAGCAAUGCCGCGUGCAGGAAGAAGGCCUUCGGGUUGUAAACUGCUUUUGUACGGAACGAAACGGUCUGGGUUAAUACCCUGGGCUAAUGACGGUACCGUAAGAAUAAGCACCGGCUAACUACGUGCCAGCCGCCGCGGUAAUAC
rnacentral:rRNA from 1 species